UACGAAGGGGGGCUAGCGUUGCUCGGAAUCACUGGGCGUAAAGCGCACGUAGGCGGACUCUUAAGUCAGGGGUGAAAUCCUGGAGCUCAACUCCAGAACUGCCUUUGAUACUGAGAGCCUUGAGUUCGGGAGAGGUGAGUGGAACUGCGAGUGUAGAGGUGAAAUUCGUAGAUAUUCGCAAGAACACCAGUGGCGAAGGCGGCUCACUGGCCCGAUACUGACGCUGAGGUGCGAAAGCGUGGGGAGCAAACAGGG
rnacentral:rRNA from 1 species